AGUGAACGCUGGCGGCAUGCCUAACACAUGCAAGUCGAACGGAAGCACAGUAAGCUCUUGCUCUUACGGUUGGCGGGGGGCGGGCGGGUGACGCAUACAUCGCCUUCUACUUUUUCGUGGGUGAUAUCGUAGGGCCACUGACACUACCACAGCAUACGACCUACGGCAGAAUGCAAGAGAUCUUCGCGCCUUUCCUGACACAUUUAGCUGGCGCCGGAUUAGCUAGUUGGCGAGGUAACGGCCCACCAAGGCGACGAUGCGUAGCUGAUCUGAGAGGAUGAUCGGCCACACUGGAACUGAGACACGGUCCAGACUCCUACGGGAGGCAGCAGUGGGGAAUCUUGGGCAAUGGGCGAAAGCCUGACGCAGCAACACCGCGUGAGUGAAGAAGGCCUUCGGGUUGUAAAGCCCUUUUAUUGGGAAAGAAAAGCUGUGGAAGUAACCGUGGAUGUUCUGACGGUACCUAAACAGUAAGCCACGGCUAACUUCGUG
rnacentral:rRNA from 1 species